UAAGCGUAUUGUAAUUGUAAAAUUUAAGCAGUCCACAAUCUGUUUCGGCGUACAUAAACAAGUGCAUUCACGUUUGAAUCUUCAACAUUGAAUGGAAAAGGUUUUGCAUGAAAAACAGUCAACCUUAUGUCAUAUAGAGGCUAAAAAUAAUUCAAGUGAAUAUUUUCUUAGAGAUUGUUAAAUUAUUUCGCCGUAAAGUUAUAAUUUAGAACAUCUAUUUAUUUCUGAUUUAAAUAUAAUUUAAAAUAAUGACGACAAUGCCCCUUUUCAAAUAGUUUUAGGCUUUAAAAAGAAAUAUAACACACAUACACCAUCAAUAAUAUUGACAUUAUGGCUGCUGUCACAAUCAUUGACCGACCUGUCUCAAUGCAAUGUUAGCGCGUUUGACAUUUCCAUCAUUGUUGGUGUUUGCAGCAGCCAUGGCGAGCAAAGGAAUUCAGUUUGCCAAAAAAGUUGUUUUUACAAGGCAAAAUAGCUAGUUCAUCGUGAUGUGAAUAACAAGACGGAAAAAGGAUCCUCGAAAUUGCUCAACAUCUAGCAAUCAACAGCACCAUGCUUCACUGCAUUACCAAUAAAUGCAUUUAUUCUACGCUGUGCCAUUCAACUAUGGUGUAAAAUAUUUCAUGAACACACGGAGGAAAUCAUCACACGAAGAAGUGCCGGUACAGAAGGAAAAAGGCCCCCGAAAGAGUGAUAAAUCAGUCGAUGAAGUGAAGAUUAUUAUUAUAAUGCGUUGUAAAUUGCUUAUUGUUACGUUAAAUGUUAAAAUAUAUCCCUUUUUUGAAACGA